CAGACCAGAAAAAUUAAGUUUUCCUAAUGGACCACUGCCACUGCUGUCUGAGCCAUGAAGACAACACUUAGCCCAGGCUAAAAGCAGUGGAGUUGAAAACUUACUUGUCCAGAUCCAUGUCUCUCCUCCUUCAAGCAAGCAUGGACUCCCCCAUUAGAUCCUGUCAUCUUCUCUUCAGUCUCCAGUACUAUCAUAUGAUUACGUGCAGUCUCACAGUUGUUGUGUGCAGGGUGAAGAAAUCAUCCAACAGGAUCUUAGUCUAUUAUACCCCUGAGGAAAUUCAGGAAGAGAAAGUUAAGUAACCUGACCAAGAUCAGAGAGUGAAGAAGCCUGGGUACUUACAGGGAAUCUAAGAACUGCCAGGGAUGGAAUCACAUCCUCCGCGCUUAGCUUUGAAAGACUGUUAACAUUGCAGCAUGAUGCCAUGUCCAACAAGCAGAACAGCGGGGAAAAUUAAGAGUAGCUUGUAAGGGUACCUGAGAGUAGGCUCACAGAGUGCCACCAACUGUCCCAGGGAGCACAGAAAGCAAUCUAGGACCCACUGAAACCAUCCCAGAGAUGAGGUGCAGAAGUCACAUGUGGAGGCCUGAGGUUGGGACAAGAAGGCCACAGACAGCAGAAACCUCACAAAGGGCAUUGUGUGGGCACAGUCAGCACUGAGCCCUGGCACAAGGCUCAAACCAUGCAGAAGGCACCAGCCACACCUCAAGGGACAACAAAGGAUGCCCAGAAGAGGCAGGAUUCAGAGCAGAGAUCCCUUUUGCUACAACCACAAAGUGCUCCUAGGCUCAGAUGCCUUCUGGGAGAGAAGGAGAUCCUGAAGAGAAGAACCCUGAGAGACCAGAGGCAGCUCUGAAGGGAGAUGGAGCUUUGAAUUGACUAAAUAUUUUCAAGAUUUUUUAAAUUAAAAGUGAUACACGGGA